CGGGGUAUGGCUCAAUUGGCUAGAGCACCUGGUUUGGGACCAGGGGAUUGUGGGUUCAAGUCCCACUACCCCGACAA
rnacentral:tRNA from 1 species